AGGGGAGAGUCCCUUUAAUGACAGGGACUUGAUAAAGCGACUGAUCGACGGCUGCAUCCUACCCGAGGUCAUCUAGAGGAUUGAUCGCGUCGAUCUCGAACAGUGGGUUUGGGACUCCCUAGGAUCCUUUCUUGAGGUAAACAGGUCCACCUUUCCCCUUCUCCUCGCUCCUUCAUUUAAUCAAUUCCUCAACUUUCAUUUUGACCUCCUGGCCGCC
rnacentral:lncRNA from 1 species